rnacentral:rRNA from 1 species
UACAGAGGGUGCGAGCGUUGUCCGGAAUCACUGGGCGUAAAGGGCGCGUAGGUGGCGACCCAAGUCGAUGGUGAAAGCUCGCCGCUCAACGGCGAGUCGGCCACCGAUACUGGGUUGCUCGAGCACUGUAGAGGCUAAUGGAAUUCCGGGUGUAGCGGUGGAAUGCGUAGAGAUCCGGAAGAACACCGAUGGCGAAGGCAGGUCACUGGGCCGCAACUGACGCUGAGGAGCGAAAGCAUGGGGAGCGAACAGG